rnacentral:misc_RNA from 1 species
GUUAACCGGUCGCGUUGAAUCUCCAAGAGUGUUAUCGAGUUCGGAAGGGUAGAACCAGGUUUGGACUCUACAGGUUUGUGGCUGAGUUGGGUUUGUAUCUCGACAGGGAACUCAGCUACAUGAUGGCGUUUGAAAUCGUAGGCGCCAGUGCCGUACACCUUGGUCAUUGUGGCACCUGUAAUUGAAAAUGAUAAGUUUAUGUGAAAAUAAUAGAUGGAUUUGGGGAAUUGUG